rnacentral:lncRNA from 1 species
GCAUAGAAGUGAUUAUUCUUCCAAGACGUGAAAUAUGCAUUCAAAUUGAGUGGUUCCUUGUUGUCAGACUGGUAAAACAUCUGGUCGAAAGCUCAAUGAUAAUAAAAUAGGAACUUCUUUGCAUACAUUUCCAACAUCAAACAUGGAAAUUAUUAAUAAAUGGAAAUCUGCUAUACUAAUAAAUUAGAUACCUGUUUAAACAUGAAGAUUUUGAAACAGAAACUAAAUGGACAAAUAGAGAACUAAAAAGACGUAUCUUAAGAAAAUGUGCUAUACCAUCUUUAGGAUUAAAAAUAGAAGUGUCAAUUAAAAAAAGGACUAGUCAGUGGCUGAGGUGAGGCGUAAACGGAAAAGUGAUGAAAUAGAAUUAAGGGCGCAAAGUUUUUGAGAGAAGAUGAUGCUUCAAAUUUGUUGGAGCUCAAACAAAAAUUAAAUAUAAAUUGUGUACCUACAAAAAUAAGAGUAGAUUGUAUAAAAGAUAAAGUUGAAUUUCUGUACAUGACAAAGUCAGACUAAGGUAUUAUGCAGAACACAUAAAAUAAGUGAAAUGAUAACUCUA